UACAGAGGUCUCAAGCGUUUGUUCGGAUUCAUUGGGCGUAAAGGGUGCGUAGGCGGCGCGGUAAGUCGGGUGUGAAAUCUCGGGGCUUAACUCCGAAACUGCAUUCGAUACUGCCGUGCUUGAGGACUGGAGAGGAGACUGGAAUUUACGGUGUAGCGGUGAAAUGCGUAGAUAUCGUAAGGAAGACCAGUGGCGAAGGCGGGUCUCUGGACAGUUCCUGACGCUGAGGCACGAAGGCCAGGGGAGCAAAACGGG
rnacentral:rRNA from 1 species